ACUCUGUUGCCCAGCCUGGAGUGCAGUGGUAUGAUUCUGACUCACUGCAACCUCUGCCUCCUGAGUUUAAGCGAUUCUUCUGCCUCAGCCUCCCGAGUAGCUGGGAUUACAGGCAUGUGCCACCAUGCCCAGCUAAUUUUGUAUUUUUAGUAGAAACGGGGUUUCACCAUGUUAGCCAGGCUGAUCUCGAACUCCCGACCUCAGGUGGUCCACCCGCCUCGGCCUCCCAAAGUGCUGGGAUUACAGGCCUGAGCCACCGCACCCGGCCAGUUAUUUUUAUAAUUAGCAAAGUAAAGCUACUUCUAUUUUGGAAAGUGAAAUCAAGUUAAAAUUUGAUUCUCUGUGAGCUCUUCAUUCAGCAAAGAUUAAAUUACAUUAUUUUAAGAGAGUGAAGAGGAAUUUGAAAUGCGUUUAGAUUUUCCACAGGAAUCAAGGGAGUUGUUGUUAACUGUUAGUUGAGUAGAAAACUAAACUCAUUAAGCAUUGUUUUCCCCAUAGUGUCAGUAUAGUGCUGAUCUCACAUUGUGAUGAAUUAGGUUCCCUCAAAUUUUUCAUGACGCCAUGAAAAAUGGUUUAAAGUACUUGAAUAUAGGCAUCUUUUUUUAAAGCCUUAUUUUAAAUGACAUGGCAUAUUAUUGCAACAUUUUUUAUGAUGCUUGCUUCAUUGUUAUUUUUGUUAAGAGUUUCCAUUUUAAAAGUCCUUUGCCAUCUUGUCCUUGCCGUCCUGGCUUUCAUCUGGGACUGCAGCAGGGCUGAGCCAAAAAUGGCUGCUGCUGCAGCAGGGGCGGGCAUAGUAUAGGACUUGGCUGCUGUGGUUCCUGUGAAGAAGCAGGAGGGGAAGCUUGGGGAGAAUGUCCUGGCUCAGGAUUCUCUUAAUGGUUGUGGCCACAAGAAUUGGGCUUUUCUUGUGGAAGAAUUUCCAUACUGUAGAUUCUGCUGUUUGGAGGGAAUGACACUGAGUAUUGGAAUUUACAGCAUUAGUGGGGGGACCCACCCAUUCUCUGCAGUAGAAGAAAUCUUAGCUGAUGCUGUCAUUCACUGAGCAGGAUUGGCUAUUUUCAGAAAGCAGCAAGGCUUACCUGUCUGUGUCAGUUGAUGACAGAUACAUGUCCAGAAUGAUGGUGAUUUCUAGCUUGGUGGGUGAACAUACUUAAAUGCGAAUUAUCUCUCAGAGAUGGAGUGGGUGGCAUAUAGUAGAGGAUUAAAAAGGUCUUCCCUUUCGUGCAGCUUGUGUGAGGAAUACUGUUCCAUAUAAAAAAUCUGCUUGGUAUGUUAAGGUGAGAGAUGGGGAGUGGUUUGAGUAGAGAAUUAAAGUUGCUGUGUGUGCUCUUUGGACCACUCCCAAGAGGAAAUACACUGCCAUUUGGAUGGGGUGAGUUUGUGCCUGAGUUCCUGUCCUUUCUGCCUGUGACUAGAGAUAGGCAUGAUGUAAAAACACCAGGAUCUGCUGCUUAGCAACCAGUAAAAUACCGUAUAUCUGGAUAGGCAGUAACACAGUACUUCAUUCAUUUCUCUUUCAGUGUGAUGAAGAGAAAAGGCUUUUUUGCUUGAGAAACAGAAAAGCCCCCCUUCUCUAGAAAAGCCAUAUGUGAUCAUUAUGGAAAAUACAGGGAAAAAAAAAGAAUAACAGUUUACUCAUAACUCUAACUCAUUGAUGUAUUUCGAUAAAUUUCCUUGAAGGAAUUUUUUGUUUAUAUAUGUAUACAUAUUUUUGUACAUAUUUAUGUACACAUAGGUUGGCAUAUAUGUGUUUAUAUAUAUACAUACACAUUUGCAUAGCUGCAAAUCAUACUGUAAAUGUAACUUUGUAUUAUUUUUCCUAUUUUAACAUAUUGAUAUAUUAACAUUUCUUUCUUUCUUUUUUUUUUUUAGAGAUAGAGUCUCUGUUGCUCAGGCUGGAGUACAAUGGCAUGAUCAUAGCUCACUGUAACCUCCAACUCCUGGGCUCAAGCUAUCCUCCUGCCUCAGCUUACCCAGUUGCUGGGAUUACAGGCAUGAGCCACCCUACCUGGCCAGUAUAGUCACAUUUCAAAAAACAUUCUGAAGGCAUCUUUAAUGGCUUUAUAGUAUUAGAUAUAUGACUGUGCCACAAUUUACUGAAAACACAUUCCUUAUUGUUGGAUUUUUUUUUUCUUUUUUUGACAUGAGGAUCUUGCUGUGUUUCCUAGGCUGGCUUUGAACUCCUGGCUAUCCUCCCACCUCAGCCUCUCGAGUUGCAGGGAUUACAGACAUGCACUUUUUUUUUUUUUUUUUUUUUAAAUGAGACAGAGUCUCACUCUGUCGCCCAGGCUGGAGUGCAGUGGCGCGAUCUCGGCUCACUGCAAGC
rnacentral:lncRNA from 1 species